AGAGUUUGAUCCUGGCUCAGAUUGAACGCUGGCGGAAUGCUUUACACAUGCAAGUCGAACGAUGAAGCCUAGCUUGCUAGGUGAAUUAGUGGCGGACGGGUGAGUAAUAUAUCGGAACGUGUCCAUUAAUGGGGGAUAACUAAUCGAAAGGUUAGCUAAUACCGCAUACGCCCUGAGGGGGAAAGCUGGGGAUCUUCGGACCUAGCGUUAAUGGAGCGGCCGAUACCUGAUUAGCUAGUUGGUGGGGUAAAAGCCUACCAAGGCAACGAUCAGUAGCUGGUCUGAGAGGACGACCAGCCACACUGGGACUGAGACACGGCCCAGACUCCUACGGGAGGCAGCAGUGGGGAAUUUUGGACAAUGGGGGCAACCCUGAUCCAGCCAUUCCGCGUGAGUGAAGAAGGCCUUCGGGUUGUAAAGCUCUUUCGCAAGGGAAGAAACGAUAUAGGUUAAUAGCUUAUGUUAAUGACGGUACCUUGACA
rnacentral:rRNA from 1 species